UUACAGGUUGUCUUUCCUCAGAUAUCUCCUGCAUGGUCAGGCAGUGCCAACUCCAGCUGUACGGGCAUGUGGCACGCUGCCCACCCUGCUCACCGGGCUGUUUCAGAGUGGAGGAGGCUGAGGGAAUGCCCACGAGGCUCACAGAUUCCGCGUCUCCAUGGACCCUGCCGCAAGAGACAACCCGAUGAGCAGGAUCAGCUUCAGGGUAACGUGCCACGUGCCCGUAUAGCCGGAGUUGGCAUUGACGGACUAUAGCUAUGCAGGUACCGACAACGCCAUAUACUCGUGCUGAGCGAGUCCAUAACACCGUGGGCCAGACCAAUCCGCCGUUAGACUUCCUGGCGAGACUCACCGUUGUUACAAACUACGCUACCAAGAUACGUGAAACUUUCU